rnacentral:rRNA from 1 species
GGCAAUCGCGUGCAGCUUGCAUGCCUGCAGGUCGACGAUUUUCUGGUUGAUCCCGCCGGACCCCACUGCUAUCGGGGUGGGACUAAGGCAUGCUAGUUUGCGUCUUCAAGCAACGGAGAAGACGCAGCGGACGGCUCAGUAACACGUAGCCAAUCUGCCCUUGGGACGGAGAUAACCCCGGGAAACUGGGGAUAAUAGCCGAUAGGUGAGAAGGCCUGGAAUGGUUUCCCGCCUAAAAGACCAGGAACCAUGCUUCCAAAGUCGCCCAAGGAUGGGGCUGCGGCCGAUCAGGCAGUUGGCGAGGUAAUGGCUCACCAAACCUAUAACCGGUACGGGCCGUGAGAGCGGGAGCCCGGAGAUGGGCACUGAGACAAGGGCCCAGGCCCUACGGGGCGCAGCAGCUACGAAACCUCUGAAAUGCGCGAAAGCGGGUCAGGGCUACCCCGAGUGCCGUCCGCUGAGGAUGGCUUUUCUCUGGUGUAAUGAGCCGGAGGAAUAAGGGGAGGGCAAGCCUGGUGUCAGCCGCCGCGGUAAUACCAGCUCCCCGAGUGGUGGGGACUUUUAUUUGGCCUAAAGCGUCCGUAGCCGGUUCGGCAAGUCUCCUGUUAAAUCCAACGACCUAAUCGUUGGACUGCGGGUGAUACUGUUGGACUAGGAGGCGGAAGAAGCCGACGGUACUCUUGGGGUAGGGGUGAAAUCCUAUAAUCCCAAGAGGACCACCAGUGGCGAAGGCGGUCGGCUAGAACGCGCUCGACGGUGAGGGACGAAAGCUGGGGGAGCGAUCCGGAUUAGAUACCCGGGUAGUCCCAGCUGUAAACGAUGCGGGCUAGGUGUUGACGUGACCACGAGUCACUUCAGUGCCGCAGGGAAGCCGUUAAGCCUGCCGCCUGGGAAGUACGGUCGCAAGACUGAAACUUAAAGGAAUUGGCGGGGGAGCACCACAAGG